rnacentral:tRNA from 1 species
AGGCUUUAGCUUAAUAAAAGUGUCUGAGUUGCAUUCAGGUGAUGUGGGAUAAAAUCCUGCAAGUCUUAU